rnacentral:rRNA from 1 species
GGCAGCUUACACAUGCAGUCGAGGGGUAUAGGAAGCUUGCUUCCUAGAGACCGGCGCACGGGUGCGUAACGCGUAUGCAAUCUACCUUUUGCAGAGGGAUAGCCCAGAGAAAUUUGGAUUAAUACCUCAUAGUAUGUGAGAAUGGCAUCAUUUUCACAUUAAAGUCACAACGGCAAAAGAUGAGCAUGCGUCCCAUUAGCUUGUUGGUAAGGUAACGGCUUACCAAGGCAACGAUGGGUAGGGGUCCUGAGAGGGAGAUCCCCCACACUGGUACUGAGACACGGACCAGACUCCUACGGGAGGCAGCAGUGAGGAAUAUUGGACAAUGGGCGCAAGCCUGAUCCAGCCAUGCCGCGUGCAGGAUGACGGUCCUAUGGAUUGUAAACCGCUUUUGUACAGGAAGAAACACUGGUUCGUGAACCAGCUUGACGGUACUGUAAGAAUAAGGAUCGGCUAACUCCGUGCCAGCAGCCGCGGUAAUACGGAGGAUCCAAGCGUUAUCCGGAAUCAUUGGGUUUAAAGGGUCCGUAGGCGGUUUAGUAAGUCAGUGGUGAAAGCCCAUCGCUCAACGGUGGAACGGCCAUUGAUACUGCUAGACUUGAAUUAUUAGGAAGUAACUAGAAUAUGUAGUGUAGCGGUGAAAUGCUUAGAGAUUACAUGGAAUACCAAUUGCGAAGGCAGGUUACUACUAAUGGAUUGACGCUGAUGGACGAAAGCGUGGGUAGCGAACAGGAUUAGAUACCCUGGUAGUCCACGCCGUAAACGAUGGAUACUAGCUGUUGGGCGCAAGUUCAGUGGCUAAGCGAAAGUGAUAAGUAUCCCACCUGGGGGAGUACGUUCGCAGAUGAAACUCAAAGGAAUUGACGGGGGCCCGCACAGCGGUGGAG